AGAGUUUGAUCCUGGCUCAGGAUGAACGCUGGCGGCGUGGAUAAGGCAUGCAAGUCGAACGAACUAAGUUUUAACAGCGAUGCGAUUACAUCAAGUCAAUGAAGAUUUUUGGUUAGUGGCGAACGAGUUAGUAACACCUUGGUACAUACCUCGAAGUGGAGCAUAGCCAGUCGAAAGAUUGGGUAAUACUCCAUACUCCCGAGAGGGAAAAGUCGUAAGACGCUUUGAGAGUGGCCUAGGCCCGAUCAGCUAGUUGGUGGUGUAACGGACCACCAAGGCUAUGACCGGUAGGGAGGCUGAGAGGCUGAUCCCCAACGACGAGACUGAGACACGGCUCGUACACCUACGGGUGGCAGCAGUCGAGAAUAUUCCACAAUGGGCGAAAGCCUGAUGGAGCGACGCCGCGUGGAGGAAGAAGGCCUUCGGGUUGUAAACUCCUUUUCUAUAUGAAGAAGACCACUUCGUGUGGUUUGACAUUAGUAUAGGAAUAAGAGGUUGCUAACUCUGUGCCAGCAGCAGCGGUAAUACAGAGACCUCGAGCGUUAUCCGGAUUUAUUGGGCGUAAAGGGCGCGUAGAAGGCAUAGUGCGUCUUGUGUUAAAUCUUACCGCUUAACGGUAAACCUGCACAAGAUACGGCUUUGCUAGAGGGCAUCAGAGGUACAUAGAACGCACGGUGUAGGGGUGAAAUCCGUUGAUAUCGUGCGGAAUACCAAAGGCGAAGGCAGUGUACUGGGAUGUUCCUGACUUUGAGGCGCGAAAGCGUGGGGAGCAAAAAGGAUUAGAUACCCUUGUAGUCCACGCCCUAAACGAUGUCUACUAGCUAUUGGAAGUAUCGACCCUUUCAGUGGCGAAGCUAACGCGUUAAGUAGACCGCCUGGGAAGUACGGUCGCAAGACUAAAACUCAAAGGAAUAGACGGGGACUCGCACAAGCAGUGGAGCAUGCGGUUUAAUUCGAUGGUAAGCGAAACACCUCACCAAGGUUUGAAACUCUUACGAAAGUCCGAUGAAAGUUGGACCCUUCUAAUUUAUUAGAACGGAAGAGCGGGUGCUGCACGGUUGUCGUCAGCUCGUGGCUUGAGUUGUUCCUUUAAGUAGGUUAACGAGCGCAACCCCUAUCGUCUGUUACAAGUGUCAGACGAGACAGCCCGAUUUUUCGGGAGGAAGGUGGGGAUGACGUCAAAUCAGCGUGGCCCUUUGAUACCUUGGGCUACACGCAUGCUACAAUGGUCUGUACAAUGGGUCGCCAAGCCGUGAGGCGGAGCCAAUCCCAUCAAAACAGGCCUCAGUUCGGAUUGAAGGCUGAAAUUCGCCUUCAUGAAGUUGGAAUUGCUAGUAAUCGCUGAUCAGCACGCCGCGGUGAAUACGUUCUCGAGUCUUGUACUCACCGCCCGUCAUACCAAGGGAGCCGGGAGUAGGUGAAAUCUGCGUAAGCGGACUAGCCUAAAUUCGGUGACACGGGUAAAGUCGUAACAAGGUAACC
rnacentral:rRNA from 1 species